AACGAACGCUGGCGGCAGGCUUAACACACGCAAGUCGAGCGCCCCGCAAGGGAAGCGGCAGACGGGUGAGUAACGCGUGGGAAUCUACCCAUCUCUACGGAAUAACGCAUGGAAACGUGUGCUAAUACCGUAUACGUCCUUCGGGAGAAAGAUUUAUCGGAGAUGGAUGAGCCCGCGUUGGAUUAGCUAGUUGGUGGGGUAAAGGCCUACCAAGGCGACGAUCCAUAGCUGGUCUGAGAGGAUGAUCAGCCACACUGGGACUGAGACACGGCCCAGACUCCUACGGGAGGCAGCAGAGGGGAAUAUUGGACAAUGGGCGCAAGCCUGAUCCAGCCAUGCCGCGUGAGUGAUGAAGGCCCUAGGGUUGUAAAGCUCUUUCACCGGUGAAGAUAAUGACGGUAACCGGAGAAGAAGCCCCGGCUAACUUCGUGCCAGCCGCCGCAGUAAGAC
rnacentral:rRNA from 1 species